rnacentral:misc_RNA from 1 species
AACGCACAUUGCGCCCCUCGGUAUUCCGUGGGGCAUGCCUGUUCGAGCGUCAUUUACCCCCUCAAGCUCAGCUUGGUAUUGGGUGCUUGUCCCGCCUCUCUGGGCGGCGACUCACCUCAAAAUCAGUGGCAGCCCGCAUCCGCCGGCCGUGAGCGCAGCAAAUUCGCGCUCGAAGCCUGGCAGGUCGGCUCUCCAGAAGCCCUUUUUUUUACUCUUGACCUCGGAUCAGGUAGGGAUACCCGCUGAACUUAA